rnacentral:rRNA from 1 species
GAGUUUGAUCCUGGCUCAGGAUGAACGCUAGCGGUAGGCUUAACACAUGCAAGUCGAGGGGUAACGAUGUCUUCGGACAGUCGACGACCGGCGCACGGGUGAGUAACGCGUAUGCAACCUACCCGUAGCUGAGGGAUAGGUCCGAGAAAUCGGAAUUAAUACCCCAUAACAUUGAACAUGAUUUAGAUUUUAAAGUUUCGGCGGCUACGGAUGGGCAUGCGUGACAUUAGUUUGUUGGUGAGGUAACGGCUCACCAAGACUACGAUGUCUAGGGGGUCUUAAAGGAUGAUCCCCCACACUGGUACUGAGACACGGACCAGACUCCUACGGGAGGCAGCAGUGAGGAAUAUUGGGCAAUGGGCGCAAGCCUGAACCAGCCAUGCCGCGUGUAGGAUGAAUGCCCUAUGGGUUGUAAACUACUUUUAUACAGGAAUAAACCCCUCUACGUGUAGAGGGCUGAAGGUACUGUAAGAAUAAGCACCGGCUAACUCCGUGCCAGCAGGCGCGGUAAUACGGAGGGUGCAAGCGUUAUCCGGAUUUAUUGGGUUUAAAGGGUCCGCAGGCGGGUCUGUAAGUCAGUGGUGAAAGUUUGCAGCUUAACUGUAAAAUUGCCAUUGAUACUGAUGGGCUUGAGUCUGGUAGAGGUAGGCGGAAUGUGUAGUGUAGCGGUGAAAUGCUUAGAUAUUACACAGAACACCGAUUGCGAAGGCAGCUUACUAUGCCAGCACUGACGCUGAUGCACGAAAGCGUGGGGAGCGAACAGGAUUAGAUACCCUGGUAGUCCACGCCGUAAACGAUGAUAACUGGUUGUGCGCGAUACACUGUGCGUGACUGAGGGAAACCAUUAAGUUAUCCACCUGGGGAGUACGUUCGCAAGAAUGAAACUCAAAGGAAUUGACGGGGGCCCGCACAAGCGGAGGAACAUGUGGUUUAAUUCGAUGAUACGCGAGGAACCUUACCUGGGCUUAAAUGUGGUUUGACCGGCUUAGAAAUAGGUUUUCCCUUCGGGGCUAUUUACAAGGUGCUGCAUGGUUGUCGUCAGCUCGUGCCGUGAGGUGUCGGGUUAAGUCCCAUAACGAGCGCAACCCCUAUCGUUAGUUGCUAGCAGGUAAUGCUGAGGACUCUAGCGAGACUGCCACCGUAAGGUGAGAGGAAGGUGGGGAUGACGUCAAAUCAGCACGGCCCUUAUGUCCAGGGCUACACACGUGUUACAAUGGCCGAUACAAUGAGCAGCUACCAGGCAACUGGAUGCUAAUCUCCAAAGUCGGUCUCAGUUCGGAUCGGAGUCUGCAACUCGACUCCGUGAAGUUGGAUUCGCUAGUAAUCGGAUAUCAGCCAUGAUCCGGUGAAUACGUUCCCGGGCCUUGUACACACCGCCCGUCAAACCAUGGAAGUUGGGGGUACCUGAAGUACGUGACCGUAAGGAGCGUCCUAGGGUAAAUCUGAUGACUGGGGUUAAGUCGUAACAAGGUAGCCG